CCUACGGGUGGCAGCAGUGAGGAAUAUUGGUCAAUGGACGAGAGUCUGAACCAGCCAAGUAGCGUGAAGGAUGACUGCCCUAUGGGUUGUAAACUUCUUUUAUAUGGGAAUAAAAUGUUCCACGUGUGGGAUUUUGUAUGUACCAUAUGAAUAAGGAUCGGGUAACUCCGUGCCCGCAGCCGCGGUAAUACGGAGGAUUCGGGCGUUAUCCGGAUUUAUUGGGUUUAAAGGGAGCGUAGAUGGGUUGUUAAGUCAGUUGGGAAAGUUUGCGGCUCAACCGUAAAAUUGCAAUUGAUACUGGCAGUCUUGAGUACAGUUGAGGUAUGCGGAAUUCGUGGUGUAGCGGUGAAAUGCUUAGAUAUCACGAAGAACUCCGAUUGCGAAGGCAGCUUACUAAACUGCAACUGACGUUGAUGCUCGAAAGUGUGGGUAUCAAACAGGAUUAGAUACCCCAGUAGUC
rnacentral:rRNA from 1 species